rnacentral:rRNA from 1 species
UGGUGGAGUGAUUUGUCUGGUUUAUUCCGUUAACGAACGAGACCUCAACCUGCUUAAUAGACUUGACAAGUUUAACUUGUACAAGACUUCUUAGAGGGACUAUUGGUUCUUAGCCAAUGGAAGUUUGAGGCAAUAACA